GAUAUGUUUAAAACUUAUUAAGAACCUGUUUGAGCGAAAUUAACCACAUCAUUAAUUAUUCUUCCACUGCCUGCUUUGCUAAUUUCCAGCAAAUUGUCACCUUUGUCUUUCAGAUUGAAAUGAAUGCAGUCACAGAAACCUUUCCGGAUUUUGCUGCUUUGGUCCAUUGGUGGAAUUAUGGACAAUGAGGUCUUUCAAGCUUGUGGAGAACAUCUAUGCAGACACUGAGAUUUUCGAUCCUGAGGCUCUCAACAACCAUCAUCCAUUGACUGCAUACACAGUGGGAGGGAAGAUACUGGUGACCCCAAAAGUGUGCCUGCUGCAUUGAAGGGACGCAGAAUGGUCCAAGCUACGUAACGCAGGCUGCAUUGAGGUCAGCAUUAACCGGAGAAGAAGCGGUGAAGAUGAUGGUGCAGGUCCUUCUUUGAAGAGAGCAAAGCGAGGGGAGAUUAACUAUGUUCCUGACCACCCAGAUACCCAUACUGAUGACUCGCUGGAGGAGGAAAGACUAGCUCUGGUUGAGGAGUUAAAGAAGAGGAAUAAGAAUGUUGCACUCAUAAAGCAACAGAUGGAGGUGACAUUCUCCCUGAGGCGCAAGGAGAUUGUGGAGCUAGUGCCUAUGGUGUCAGAGGUUCAGGAGCGUUGGCCUGCUCUGUUUUACGAGGCAGAGGUAAGCAGCUGAGCAAAUAAUAUAUUAUGUUGUGUUUCAGAUUUAGUCUUUGCAAAAUAAGAAUCUGAAGUUGUUUACUUCCGUUAACCCUCAUCCUACCAACUGGGGUACUGGCAGACCCCAAAGGUAUACUUUUUGUCAUAUCUCACAUGCUUUGUUCUAUCAUUUAAAUUUUUCAUCACUUUGUCAAUCAAUUUGUUCCUUAUGACUUCAUAUCAUUGUUUUCUGUUUUAAUUAGUGAUUUUUAAAAAUACCAAUGUAUUGGGGUCCUGGGGGUCCCACCAAAAGCACCCAAUUGCAGCCUAUGCAGUUAAAAUAGGUAAAAUAUAAUAGAUAA